rnacentral:rRNA from 1 species
GACGAACGCUGGCGGCGUGCCUAAUACAUGCAAGUAGAACGCAUUGGCGAACGGGUGAGUAUCACGUAGGUACCUGCCUCAUAGCGGGGGAUAACUAUGGGAAACGAUAGCGAAUACCGCACAUUGUGAGAUGGACCUGGGUUGUAUUAGCUAGUUGGUGAGGUAAGGCUCACCAAGGCGACGAUACAUAGCCGACCUGAGAGGGUGAUCGGCCACACUGGGACUGAGACACGGCCCAGACUCCUACGGGAGGCAGCAGUAGGGAAUCUUCGGCAAUGGACGGAAGUCUGACCGAGCAACGCCGCGUGAGUGAAGAAGGUUUUCGGAUCGUAAAGCUCUGUUGUUCGAGACGCGGUAACUAACCAGAAAGGGACGGCUAACUACGUGCCAGCAGCCGCGGUAAUUC